GCUAACGGCUGAACUGGCAACUUGGAGAAGUGGCAAGUCUUCCAGUAUGGGGAGCAAAACAGCUAUGGGUCAAGCCCGAUAUCUUUAGGAGAAGUCUUAUUGUGAGGGCGAGUUAUAUAACACCAUAGGGCUGGCCGCCCCAUAUGAAAAGAUUUUAUUAGAAUUGAAUGAAGCUUUGUUUAUAUAUUGAUAAUGACAGUAUAUAUAUCGUGUCUUGACUAAUUGCGUGCCAGCAGUCGCGGUAAUACGUAAGAGACUAGUGUUAUUCAUCUUAAUUAGGUUUAAAGGGUACCCAGACGGUCAAUAUAGCUUAUAAAAUGUUAGUACUUGACUAGAGUUUUAUGUAAGAGGGCAGUACUUGAGGAGGAGAGAUGAAAUUUCGUGAUACCAAAGGGACUCUGUAAAGGCGAAGGCAGCCCUCUAUGCAAAAACUGACGUUGAAGGCCGAAGGCACAGAGAACAAACAGGAUUAGAUACCCAAAUAGUCUUUGCAGUAAAUGGUGUAUUCCAUAGAUUAGAAAUAUAGUCUCCCUGAACAGUAUAUCUGGUCUAUAAAUGAAAGUGUAAGCAUUUCACCUCAAGAGUAAUGUGGCAACGCAGGAACUGAAAUCACUAGACCGUUUCUGACACCAGUAGUGAAG
rnacentral:rRNA from 2 species